rfam:Triticum aestivum genome assembly, contig: Triticum_aestivum_CS42_TGACv1_scaffold_145952_2BS
AAAGUACUCCCUCCGUCCCAAAAUUCUUGUCUUAGAUUUGUUUAGAUACAGAUGUAUCAAGUCACAUUUUAGUAUUAGAUACAUCUGUAUCUAGCCAAAUCUAAGACAAGAAAUUUGGGACAGAGGGAGUAGUUG